rnacentral:rRNA from 1 species
UGCCAGACUCCUACGGGAGGCAGCAGUGAGGAAUAUUGGUCAAUGGGCGCGAGCCUGAACCAGCCAAGUCGCGUGAGGGAGGACGGCCCUACGGGUUGUAAACCUCUUUUGCCGGGGAGCAACGGGCGUCACGUGUGGCGUCACUGAGAGUACCCGGAGAAAAAGCAUCGGCUAACUCCGUGCCAGCAGCCGCGGUAAUACGUAGGUGGCGAGCGUUAUCCGGAAUGAUUGGGCGUAAAGGGUGCGUAGGCGGCCUGCUAAGUCUGGAGUGAAAGGUACCGGCUCAACCGGUACAGGCUCUGGAAACUGGCGGGCUAGAGAGCAGGAGAGGGCGGUGGAACUCCAUGUGUAGCGGUAAAAUGCGUAGAUAUAUGGAAGAACACCAGUGGCGAAGGCGGCCGCCUGGCCUGUUACUGACGCUGAGGCACGAAAGCGUGGGGAGCAAAUAGGAUUAGAUACCCGGGUACU